GGUUGGGGAGUAACGGCGUUACACAUUCCGGAAUUAAAAAAAAAAAAAAAAAUUGUAAUCCAUUAGCGUUACAGAAUAAAAUCACAUCAUCAGAUUACAGGUAUUCUUUUGGAUUCUUUUACAGGAUUCCAUUUUGAUGCGGGGGGAGAGAGAGCAAGAGACGCCCCAGUUGAGAAAUACAGAAAUCUGUUGGCCGGCAGACCUAAUUACAGAGCACGGAUAAAUGACUAUUGGAGAGGAUGCAGGCAUACAAAGCGCUUUAAAAAGGACGGGGACGAAAGACGAUUAUUUUCCAAAUAAGGACGGAGAGACGAUUACAGAAGGGUGCCCAAGUCGUGGACAGAGGAUGGAGGACGGACUGGCAAAAUAGGGGUUGCAGGAGGGUGCUGGAACCUAUCCCAGCUGAC